GUGCAAAUGCUAUGGCUGCACAGAUACUAAAAUUAGAUAAUACAGAAAAGACUAGCACGGUCCCUGCACAAGAAUGACAGGUAGAUUCAUUAAGAAUUCCAUAUAUUA
ensembl:snRNA U6 U6 spliceosomal RNA